GACGUAGGGCGCGAGCGUUGUCCGGAUUUAUUGGGCGUAAAGAGCUCGUAGGCGGCUUGUCGCGUCGUUCGUGAAAACCUGCAGCUCAACUGCAGGCUUGCGGUCGAUACGGGCAGGCUAGAGUUCGGUAGGGGAGACUGGAAGUUCCUGGUGUAGCGGUGAAAUGCGCAGAUAUCAGGAGGAACACCGGUGGCGAAGGCGGGUCUCUGGGCCGAUACUGACGCUGAGGAGCGAAAGCGUGGGGAGCGAACAGG
rnacentral:rRNA from 1 species